rnacentral:rRNA from 1 species
UACGUAGGCAGCAAGCGUUGUUCGGAAUUACUGGGCGUAAAGCGUGCGCAGGCGGUUUUGUAAGUCUGACGUGAAAUCCCCGGGCUCAACCUGGGAAUUGCGUUGGAGACUGCAAGGCUGGAGUCUGGCAGAGGGGGGUAGAAUUCCACGUGUAGCAGUGAAAUGCGUAGAGAUGUGGAGGAACACCGAUGGCGAAGGCAGCCCCCUGGGUCAAGACUGACGCUCAUGCACGAAAGCGUGGGGAGCAAACAGG